UGAAUAUAUAAUCUACCUAUAAGCAAGAGAUAUGAUAUAACUGGCAUAAUAUAAUGCAUAUGUAAAAUUUAUAUCAUAUGAAAGUUAUUACAAAAUACAAUACCUUUUGCCAUCAAAUGUUAACUAUUCCAUUAUGUUAACAACUUUUAUUGCAUCAAUACUGUAAGCAACUGACAAGGGUUUCCUUUAAAAACCUUUGUCAGUUUUAUACUUAGUGAGUGGUCUUUUCUUUAUACAAGAUACAAAAAUAAAUUCCUAAUUAAACUUAAAUAAAAAAAAUUUAGGUACUACAUCAGAUUUCUGUGAUGAAAUUUUAGUAAUGUUCUAUGUAUGAAUAAAAACAAAUAUUUUAUAGGCUACUUUUUAUAAUUUUGGCAUUAUAAAAAUUCAAAGAAUUCCUUAGAUGGAUGUUAGCACAUGUAAACAGAUAACAAAGGCAUAUUGAUAACCCGUGAUUUGGACUGUAUAAAUGCAGACUUCUUUCUGAAGUCUGCAUUUAUUGCCGUCAUAAUUUUAAGUGGUACCAAAAUGUAGCCUUGUUGAAAAGCAAAUACAGUUAGAGAUUAAAGAACAAAUGUUAUUGUUUAAUCUAUAUUUCAGCCUUGUGUUUAACCUAUAUACCCCUCUAAUAAAGGUUUCCAUAAAUCAGCAAUUGUUGUUAGACUACUUCAUUUCAUUAUUGCAAUUUUUAAAAUUUUUUGAAAAUUUUUAUUUAAUUUUGUUUAUAUGUGUUAAAAAACGACUCUGGGGAAUAAAAAUAAUAGUGUACAAAUGUGAAAACGGAU
rnacentral:lncRNA from 1 species